CUUGUAUGAACAACCAUGAGAUCACUGAUCCGUCAACGAUCCCUAUACCGGCUGCGGCUCUGGGUGAUAAUAGCGGCGGUAUUGGGUUCAACAUUGUUUCUUCUCUGGUGGAGUGGUGAACUAACUAACCUAAUUUUUCCAAAUGAGACUUAUAAUCGGACAUGGUGGGAGGCUAAGUCAUAUCCGAAAAAGAGGGAUCUACCCAAGUGCCAUACACCUGGUGCCAACAAACAUAAUAUAAGUCUUCUGAAUAGUCUGAAGAAAGCAUUGGAUGUGCCGGAAGGACCACCCCCGGACAGGAACGAGCUUUGCAGUAUGUCGUUCGAAGAUCUGGAAAUGUACUACCACACGUACCUCAGUACAAUCCAGAGCCGAUGUAAGAGAUCUCUGCGCAUGGGUAACACUAAGGACGGUGGAUGGGACGUGUGUGCCGGAGAGAUAAAAAAAAAAUAAACAGAACGACUGUCUUGUUUACUCUUUUGGCAUGCACCAGACGGACCAUUUACACAAACCAUCUGUAUUUUUCCACGCCACUGGUCUGUCUGAUUAUAACGGUGUAAGAAACGAUAUGGCAGGUUGGAAAAUGCGGACGAUGGAAGCUUAACGAAAGGAACUAAAUCACAUUGAAGUAAGUAUACUGGUUUUGUU